rnacentral:rRNA from 1 species
AGAGUUUGAUCAUGGCUCAGAUUGAACGCUGGCGGCAUGCCUAACACAUGCAAGUCGAACGGCAGCACGGAUUAACCUUGGUUAAUUGGGUGGCGAGUGGCGAACGGGUGAGUAACGCGUGGGAAUAUACCUUAAAGAGGGGGGAUAACUUGGGGAAACUCAAGCUAAUACCGCAUGUACUCUACGGAGUAAAGCUGGGGACCGCAAGGCCUGGCGCUUUAAGCAUAGCCUGCGUCCGAUUAGCUAGUUGGUAGGGUAAAGGCCUACCAAGGCGACGAUUGGUAGCUGGUCUGAGAGGACGAACAGCCACACUGGGACUGAGACACGGCCCAGACUCCUACGGGAGGCAGCAGUGGGGAAUAUUGGACAAUGGGGGGAACCCUGAUCCAGCGAUGCCGCGUGUGUGAAGAAGGCCUGCGGGUUGUAAAGCACUUUCAGUGGGGAGGAGAGUAUAUAGGUUAAGAGCUGAUAUACGAGACGUUACCCACAGAAGAAGCACCGGCUAACUCCGUGCCAGCAGCCGCGGUAAUACGGAGGGUGCGAGCGUUAAUCGGAAUUACUGGGCGUAAAGGGUGCGUAGGUGGUUGCAUAAGUUAUCUGUGAAAUUCCUGGGCUUAACCUAGGGCGGUCAGAUAAUACUGUGUGACUGGAGUAUAGGAGAGGGUAGUGGAAUUUCCGGUGUAGCGGUGAAAUGCGUAGAGAUCGGAAGGAACACCAGUGGCGAAGGCGGCUACCUGGCCUAAUACUGACACUGAGGCACGAAAGCGUGGGUAGCAAACAGGAUUAGAUACCCUAGUAGUCC